ACUAUUUCUGCCGCUUCCCCGUCUCACUUUAUCUCUCCCUCCUUUUCCUUUCUCGAUGUACCUCUAUUCCUCCCUCCCUCCCUCACUUUCUUAGUUCUCCUGUUGUUUCUCUUUUAACGGAAGCCGAUCCCCGAGCGAUUUCCAGGCGAAUCCCUUCUCGCCUCCUCUUUUCCCUCGCUCCCUCUCUCGCUUUCCCUCUGCCGACCGAUUUCUAGGGUUUCUCGCGACCAGGAACUAAUCAAGGUGCAGCUGAUCUUCCCCUUUUCCUAUACAUUUAGGUGCCGAUCGACCCGGCUUGUGAGAGGAGGAGGAGGAGUGGGAGAUGUCUGCUCGGCCUCACGUCACCAUCACUCUGGGCCGGAGUGGGCAGUUUGUCAAGAGAGCGAGACCUGGAGCCGAUUUUGGUCAAUCUGACCAUGACAUUUCAUCAGGAAGACACCAGCCAACAAGAGAAAGGUCAGGAAGCGACAUGACUGAUUCCAGUUUGUAUGGGAGUCAACACAAGAACAAACGCAUUAGAACAGAAAACAGCAAUUCCAGCUCAGAUCGUCAGAUUGGACGAAAUGAUCUUCGAUUUAAACUUAUAAAUAAAAGUUUAUUUCGAAAAACUGGUACUGGAGGAGGAGGACAAAAUGAUGUUGAUCUUCGGGAAAAACUCUCAAGGAUCAGGGAGAUUUCUUUCAAAUCCAAUCCAAGAAGGAAUUUAAGAGAAUUCAGAACUUCUGGCACUGUAAGGCGACUGCCUCCUACAAGAAGUGUAGAUGAUUUACUUCAGUUGGAUUCAAAGAGAAAAUCUUACUCUUCACGGACUGUCGAUGAGAGAAGACAUAGAUCACCGGAUAAACUUUUUAGCAAUGCUAGGGCUUUUUACUCCCCAAGAAGUCAUGAGGAUGCUUCCAGACAUUCAAGUUUUAUUAAAAAUGGUCGAGUUAAUUCUUCAAGAACUAUUUCUUCCGUGGGCAAGACUGGACUUCUAAUUGAUGCAGGAAAGUCUGGUAUUCGAGAUUCUUCAUCUGGGAGCAUUAUGCACAGAAGCACACAUAAGCCUGAAGAACCAUUUACAGUUUCUAGCUUUCUGAAUGCAUUGGGUCUAGGAAAGUAUGCCAUUUUGUUUCAAGCAGAAGAGGCAUUUCCACUGGUUGAGAAAUUUGACUUGUCCGACUGUCCUGCUGACCUCAAACUCAUUUUGUGGUCAAAUUUGACUAUUUGUUGAGCUCAGAUGGUAUUUUUGUUGGGAUUUGUUGCAAAGAUUGUUGAAGGAUUGACGUGAUAGACAUGACUUCACUGAGGGAGAUGGGAGACCAUGACCUCAAGGAACUGGGUAUUCCCAUGGGACCUAGGAAGAAGAUUCUUCUGGCAGUAUUAUCUCAUACAAAAUACCACUAUUUGUGAGAUUGUCCACUUGAUUUGAAAUUCUCAAUUACAUCAUGCUGUGGGUGUGUUGUACAUUAUCAAAACAAUGAUCAUUUUCAUGUACUAGCUCCUAGCAUUCUGAGGUUCAUAAAGAAUGAUGACUUGAUGAAAACCAAAAACUACGAUAAAGGAAUGUCUAUUGUCUCGAGUCACUCUUGUACAGACCAAGUUAUUGGAAGUCUAAUGUUGUUCUGAAAUGAAAAGAAAACACUUACAGA